AUUGAACGCUGGCGGCAUGCCUUACACAUGCAAGUCGAACGGCAGCACGGGAGCAAUCCUGGUGGCGAGUGGCGAACGGGUGAGUAAAGUAUCGGAACGUGCCCAGUCGUGGGGGAUAACGAAGCGAAAGUUACGCUAAUACCGCAUACGAUCUAUGGAUGAAAGCGGGGGAUCGCAAGACCUCGCGCGAUUGGAGCGGCCGAUAUCGGAUUAGGUAGUUGGUGGGGUAAAGGCUCACCAAGCCGACGAUCUGUAGCUGGUCUGGGAGGACGACCAGCCACACUGGGACUGAGACACGGCCCAGACUCCUACGGGAGGCAGCAGUGGGGAAUUUUGGACAAUGGGCGAAAGCCUGAUCCAGCCAUGCCGCGUGCAGGAUGAAGGCCUUCGGGUUGUAAACUGCUUUUGUACGGAACGAAAAGGUUUGGGCUAAUAAGCUGAGCUCAUGACGGUACCGUAAGAAUAAGCACCGGCUAACUACGUGCCAGCCGCCGCGGUAA
rnacentral:rRNA from 1 species